UACUUGAGCAGGGUUAAUAAAAUGGACAUGGGUAUCAAUCCCACCUGCUGUCACAAUUUUUCCUUCUCCAGCGAUUACCUCAGUAGAUGCACCAAUGACAAUAUCGACAUUAUCCAUAAUUAACGGGUUUCCACUUUUCCCAAUUCCAGAAAUCUUCCCAUCACGGAUCCCAAUAUCGGCUUUAUAAAUACCGGUAUAAUCCAAAACAAUGACAUUUGUAAUAAUCGUAUCAGGUACUCCAUCUCCACGUGUGGCUAACGGAUGUUGUCCCAUGCCAUCCCGAA
rfam:Virgibacillus soli strain PL205 scaffold000035, whole genome shotgun sequence.